UUUCGUAAAUAAACAUCUCAUUAACUAAGGCUCCGCACCUCUCUCUCUCUCUCUCGUUUGUCGCGCCCCCAUAGUUCUUGUUCUCUGCUCGUCGUCUCUUCUACGAUCGAUUCUUGUCCAAUUAGAUUCGAUGCAACUCACUCUGGAGUUUGGCGGCGGCCUGGAGCUCCUUUGCCAAUCCUCCAAGAUCCACAACGUAGAUGUGAAACCAAACCCCGGUGAGGACAAGCUAACGAUGCGCGACCUGUUGGCUUGGGUCAAGUCGAAUUUGAUCAAGGAGCGACCUGAGAUGUUCAUGAAAGGGGACUCGGUGACACCGGGGGUGUUAGUACUCAUAAACGAUUGUGACUGGGAACUAUGUGGCAGCCUGGACACGGAGUUGGAGGAGAAGGAUGUCGUGGUCUUUAUCUCUACCUUGCAUGGUGGUUAGCAUCGGUUUGCAGGGUGACAACAUCUGUUGAAUUUAUUAAAAGAAGAAUCUUAAUCAAGUUUAGUGGCAAAUAUUCUUUAAGCUGCUAAUAAGUAUAUGGGUCAUAUACAUCCAUUUCCCCUUCCAAUAAAGUCUGCAUCUGGGAACACAACUCAACGGUAAACCUCUCUUCCUUUUCCUUAUUUUGCAUGUAAUUGGUAUCUCAGAGACCAUUCCGAGAAGGUAAGCUUGCCUUAGAAUUUUUGGAUACCAGCUUUUCUGUGGAAUCUACAUGGAAUUCUGUUCUAUGUCAAGUUAUAUAAAAGAACAGUUCAAUCUUUUUUUUUUCCCUUAUUAAUAGAGCAUGCUGGACGUAACUUUUGGUACCUUCAUUAUCGUCAUGAAGUUUCCACCGGUUAUAAUCAGGGAAUGACUAUUUUCUGAGUGUGGAUUUCAUUUCAUCAUUUGACUUCAUGGCAAAUUGAUGGUAAAUGAUUUUCUACUUGUAAAUCUUGGUUGUAUUCACAUGGUCAAGAUGUUAGCCUUCGGACUCCUUGACAUUUUGGCAUCAGUUUUCUUAUUUUUCCAUGACAUUUGCGAUGGCUUCCUUCUAGAAAGAUGAUGUUUAUUUUACCAACGACAUUACGAUGGUUGGUAUUUCUAAGCAUGGAUUGAUCCUCUGAUUAUGAAGAUAAAUUUGUUUGACUCUCCAAAUGACACAAGACGAAAAACCAAAUGAGCAAUUUUGCGUGCUAGAGAGUUGCCAGGUUUUAUAUGUCCAUUGGUGCUAGUGCAUAUGCUAUGAUUAGUUCUGCAUUAGUUGCGGUCGAAGCUUGGUAAUGCAGAUGAGUCACUGUCCAUCCUCAAAUAGCAGCAAUUUAGUAUUCCUUUUCUAGGGCUUAUAUCAUGAGAAAUAGCAGUCUCAUUCAAAGAUGAGGAUACAUGACCCUAUUAUCUGAACCAAAGCAGGUCGAAAGAAACCUGUAUAAAUUGUUUCGGAAGAAACCUGUAUGAUCUGAACCAAAGCAGAUCAAAGGAAAGAUACAUGGAGGCCUGAAGUCUCACAGUCAAAACAUCAUGUUUGAAUACCUUUUAUCUACUAUUUUGUCUUUCUCAUGUUUUACUUUAUAAUCUCAGGUGCUUUUGUUAUGAAGUCUAUUGAAAUCUAUAUCUAGGGGUCACUUCAAACUGUCUUGGAGAAGAUAUAUUUUUGUUUAAUUAAUAUUCCUCUUAGACUAUCUGUCUUCUCUUAGCUCUUAUUAUUUAUUUGAUUCAUGUGCUGAUAUAUUUGUCUUGUCACUGGUGGAUGCAUUAGCUGGUUAGUUCACACAUUUCUUUCUUUGAAGAGGACAUAUGCCUGAACUUAAUAGACAAUUAUACUUUUGAUAUGAUGGAUCUUUAACCCUUAAAAUUUAUAUUCUAGCAAAUUAAUGACAUUGGAUCAUCAAACUCUUAUUCUUAUUAUUAUCAAUGUCUUUUUCUGGUUAAAUGAAUUCUUGCUACAAAACCAACUUAUUAUUAGCUUAACAUCCAGAUGAUUCUCUAGAUCAUCACACAAGAAAGAUAUACAAAUGUACACGAAAGACUUAUAUUUCAUGUUCCCUUGAGAAACAACCUCUUAUAACUAGAUAAAAAUCAUAACUCCAUUUUAGAGAUCUUUUACUAAGCUAAACAACCUCUCUAUGAUGCACAUAGGCAGCAUUGCACUGGUCCUGCCUUUUAUUAGUGGGGUUUUUUUUGUUGAUAUUGUUAGGUGGUAGAAAGCUGUAAAUAUUGCAGUUUAGCUUUACACAUUUGGAUUGGUAAAUGGUAACAAAAACAAUGGAAUGCUGCUGCCUGCUUACAGUAAGCUCCUCCACUUUGCAUGUGACAUUUCCAAAGUUUUGAGUUGAAUGUGUGGUCAAAAUCAAAUAAAAAAAAUUUGACCCUAUCUGUACGACAGCAAGCAUCUCAUUUCGUCUUAUUGUUUUUGUUGGUGCGUUCUUUUCCUUAUUUUAACUGUGCUAAAAUUGUUGGGGAGGAAGGACAUCACCAAUGAGCUCCAGGUUUUGAAGAUGCUUUAAGCUAAAACCAGUUGCAGGGCAACUCUCCUUGGGCGAGAGAUACAGUGGAGGAGUAAGCCUUGCAUCUCCCGUCACCGAUCAGCUUAUUAUUGGGCAAAGCCAACUACUACUUGGUUUCUGCUGCCUUCCUUUGUGCCGCGUCGCAGCCUUUUUUAUAUCAGGCUUUUAGGCGCGGCGGAGGUGGUACAAACCCACCAACUAUUCGGCAUAAGUUCACUGUGGGCAUGGCUUAUCCUCAUCGUCUUUUGGUACUUUCCUUUUCUUCCGCGACCAUCAUCCUGUAUUGUUCUUGAGACCAUCAUCCUGUAUGAGCCUUUCUGAUACGGAGAGGGGGAAAAUAAAGAGAAGAAAUGGGCUCGGUGGCGAAAGCGUGCUGCCUUGUGCUCUUCUUUUUAUCUCAUGGGAAGACGGCAGACCAAAACCAACCCCCUCAUAUUCCAUCCUUCCUGUCAUCAGCAAGUUAUGCCUCCACCGCAGGAGAUCAAGGGGUGCAUGCAAAGCGGUCGACGCUCGACUUAACAAGUUUUUUGAAAGUCAUUUAUAUAGGAAUGGUCAAUGAAUCGGUUCUUUACCAAUAAUAGAGUGGUACAGAGUGUCAGUCGGAUGGCAUAUGAUUGGAUAGAUCUUUGGGGUAGUAUCUAGGGUGUUUGUAAUUUAUAUUGUGAGGACUUAUGAUCGUGACGGAUUACCUUGGAUCCUUUAUCAUACGAUUGUUUAAAGUUUAUAAAAUUUAUGUUUAUAAUUUAUAUUGUCUA